GUGCAAUAGCUUAAAUCCUAGCCUUCCAUUCAAUCUAAUGGCUCUAAAAUACCUCCACGUCAUCGAUCCGCGUCACUUAGGAAAAAAAAUUUUAAUUCACUCUCAUUCCUUUUUUCUCUCAUUUUUUUUUUCUUCUGUUCAUAUCUCUCUCUCCAACUUUUCACUCCGCAGUCCUCUCCUCUGUUCUCUCUAAUUCUCAAAAUUUUCAAAAAAUCCUGAUGUUGCUGACUUGCUUUUGCCGCUACCACUCUCACGCCAAACCACCGUCAUCGCCACCAUGGCGCCACUCACCAGCCACCAUUUCUCUCCCCCAACGAUCUAUCAACCCCUGCUAUGCCUCUGUCGGCUCCACUGCCUAGCAUCUCCAAUCUGCACCGCCGGCCCAAUCACUUCCCAGAUGAUAGAGCAUAGAGCUCCAGCCAAGCUAUAUUGCCA